rnacentral:rRNA from 1 species
AGGCCUAACACAUGCAAGUCGAGCGGUAGCGGGCCUGACCACUCUCGAGUGGUUCAGGUGCCGACGAGCGGCGGACGGGUGCGUAACACGUAGGAAUCUGCCCGGUAGUGGGGGAUAGCCCGGAGAAAUUCGGAUUAAUACCGCAUACGCCCUAUGGGGGAAAGCAGGGGAUCUUCGGACCUUGCGCUAUCGGAUGAGCCUGCGUCGGAUUAGCUUGUUGGUGGGGUAAAGGCCUACCAAGGCGACGAUCCGUAGCUGGUCUGAGAGGAUGAUCAGCCACACUGGGACUGAGACACGGCCCAGACUCCUACGGGAGGCAGCAGUGGGGAAUAUUGCACAAUGGGCGAAAGCCUGAUGCAGCCAUGCCGCGUGUGUGAAGAAGGCCCUAGGGUUGUAAAGCACUUUCAGUGGGGAGGAAAGGUCGAAGGUUAAUACCCUUUGGCUGUGACGUUACCCACAGAAGAAGCACCGGCUAACUCCGUGCCAGCAGCCGCGGUAAUACGGAGGGUGCGAGCGUUAAUCGGAAUUACUGGGCGUAAAGCGUGCGUAGGCGGCCAUUUAAGUUGGAUGUGAAAGCCCCGGGCUCAACCUGGGAACUGCAUCCAAAACUGGGUGGCUUGAGUGCGAGAGAGGAGUGUGGAAUUUCCUGUGUAGCGGUGAAAUGCGUAGAUAUAGGAAGGAACACCAGUGGCGAAGGCGACACUCUGGCUUGACACUGACGCUGAGGUACGAAAGCGUGGGGAGCAAACAGGAUUAGAUACCCUGGUAGUCCACGCCGUAAACGAUGUCUACUAGUUGUCGGUGGUCUUGUACUGCUGGUAACGCAGCUAACGCGAUAAGUAGACCGCCUGGGGAGUACGG